UACGUAGGGUGCAAGCGUUGUCCGGAAUUAUUGGGCGUAAAGAGCUCGUAGGCGGUUUGUCGCGUCUGCUGUGAAAACGCGAGGCUCAACCUCGCGCCUGCAGUGGGUACGGGCAGACUAGAGUGUGGUAGGGGAGAUUGGAAUUCCUGGUGUAGCGGUGGAAUGCGCAGAUAUCAGGAGGAACACCGAUGGACGAAGGCAGAUCUCUGGGACCAUUACUGACGCUGGAGGAGCGAAAAGCGUGGGGAGCGAACAGG
rnacentral:rRNA from 1 species